rnacentral:misc_RNA from 1 species
GAUGAAGAACGUAGCGAAAUGCGAUACGUAAUGUGAAUUGCAGAAUUCAGUGAAUCAUCGAAUCUUUGAACGCACAUUGCGCCCGCCAGCACUCUGGCGGGCAUGCCUGUUCGAGCGUCAUUAUCACCCCUCAAGCCCCCCUGGCUUGGUGUUGGACGGUUUUGGUGGGACGUGCAGCCUCUCACCCCUCCUAAAGACAAUGACGGCGGCGUCGUUGGAACCCCCGGUACACUGAGCUUCUUAACUGAGCACGUACUGGAUGCGGGUACGCGAUGCACGGUCUGCCUCCCCUUUAGGGAGAACUUUUUCUUAAGGUUGACCUCGGAUCAGGUAGGAAUACCCGCUGAACUUAAGCAUAUCAAUAAGCGGAGGA